CUCUACGACCAUGCCACCCUGAAUAAGCCCGAUCCCGUCUGAUCUCGGAAGCUAAGCAAGGUCAGGCCUAGUUAGUACUUGGAUGAGAGACCACCCAAGAAGACCAGGUGCUGUAGGCA
rnacentral:rRNA from 1 species